ensembl:snoRNA SNORD25 Small nucleolar RNA SNORD25
GGAAGCUGUGAUUUAUACACAUGAAAUCAUUCAUUUGGAGAUGGUGGUAAGAACAAUGAGGAUCUUAGGCACUGAGUUUCU